rnacentral:rRNA from 1 species
UGUAAGCGUAUACCAAAGUUGUUGCGGUUAAAACGCUCGUAGUCGGAAUUUGGCAGUUCCGGAUGUGUGCACGUCGUGUGCGCACUUCGCGGGGAUUGCUUUUGUGGUCUUGCGUAGGAUGUGGCACUUUUAUUAGUGAACGUCCUCACGCAACCACUUUUUACUGUGAGAAAAUCAGAGUGCUCAAAGCAGGCAUUUGCCGUGAAUGUAUUAGCAUGGAAUAAUAGAAUAGGACUUGGUUCUAUUUUGUUGGUUUGUUGGGACUGAGUAAUGAUUAAGAGGGACAGUUGGGGGCAUUUGUAUUUCGGUGCUAGAGGUGAAAUUCUUAGAUUACCGAAAGACAAACUGCUGCGAAAGCGUCUGCCAAGGAUGUUUUCAUUGA